AGCUACUUUGAUGCGAUCGGUUCUGAUGGAAAGCCAUCAGACGCAAGGGGGAAAGUUCGGUGUAAAUCCGGCACUGUCCCGCAACUGUGAUGAGACGUGGAAUCUAGCCUCAGAGUCAGAAUGCCCGCCGAUAGUAACAUUAAACA
rnacentral:ncRNA from 2 species